rnacentral:rRNA from 1 species
UACGUAGGGACCAAGCGUUGUCCGGAAUCAUUGGGCGUAAAGAGCGUGUAGGCGGCUUGUUAAGUCUUGCGUGAAAUCUCGGGGCUCAACCCCGAGCGGUCGUGAGAAACUGGCAGGCUAGAGUGCGGGAGAGGAGAGUGGAAUUCCUGGUGUAGCGGUGAAAUGCGUAGAGAUAUGGAGGAACACCAGUGGCGAAGGCGACUUUCUGGUCUGUAACUGACACUGAGGCGCGAAAGCGUGGGGAGCAAACAGG